UCCUUACAGACAUCCUUACUGCUAUCCAUGUAAUAGCAAGCAGGAAUAGUCCUUUACCAGGGUGAAGUGUUGGUGUUUGGAAUCAUGAACUCGGCUAUUCAGGUUAGCAGAGUAGCACACACUGCAAUGAGCAAACCAAUUUGUCCAAAAUCUUUGGAGCCCAACUGAUCUGUCAGCUUUUGGGAAAAUCAUGUGUGGCCUUUUGAUUAAGGCUUAGCUUUAUUUUAAUGGUGCCAACUGCAACCCACAUGGGAAUUGCCUACUGAGGGGUCCUAAGCCUGUGAACGUGUUCUCUCUUCUCAGUGUCCAUCCAUUGAAGUACCACAGCAUGCCACUUCAUUGGACGCGUAAUUUUGCUUUUAUUUUCGAAAGAACAAGAAAAAGAAAGAGAAGAAGACGACUCUAGCCCUUUUUGUUUAAAUUGAUGGUUAUGCCCCAUUUCACCACAAUGUGGUCCAUGAGUUUUGUAUUUUCACGAAUUUGAUGAUGCCUAUGAAAUUCUGAGAUAGGUUUUUGUUUUUCAAUAUGAAUCUUCCACCAACAGUAGCGGUUCCUGUACAGGUCAUAGUGGACCUUUUGGUCUUGUUAUGUCAUGAACUAGGAGGUAAAGGUGGAGAUGGCUGCAGUUUCUCAUGGGGUCCCUUUUUCUCCCUUUCUGUUCGUAAAUGAGUCGCUGCAACAACUGAAAAGCCAUUUUACUGUUUUGCUAGGACAUACCAUGAAGUGAUUGCAGAGGAAAUACCAAAGCUUAACCACCGAGGAAGUGAGAAUACAACACGAGGAAAAAUUAAAAGAAAUUUUGCACAUGAUGCCAUCGUAAAGUAGCUAAACAGAGUAUUAGUCUGGUGUUGUCUGCAACAUAUUUUGUCACCCUCUUACAUAUCCUCAAAGCCAACCUGGUUUUCGAAUGGAAAUAAAAUGAUUCGGGAUUUCUUUCCCA